UUAUGGUCAAGCAAGUAAGAGCGUAGGGUGGAUGCUUGGCACUAAGAGCCGAUGAAAGACGUGAUAAGCUGCGAUAAGCUUCGGGGAGGAGCAAAUAUCCUUUGAUCC
rnacentral:rRNA from 1 species